UUUUAGCCCCGAUAGCAGUGGAAAUCCUUUUGUGCCGGGGUUCGGCACAAAAGAUUGGAACGGAUAGCGGGAAAAAGC
rfam:Flavobacterium reichenbachii strain LMG 25512 Contig01, whole genome shotgun sequence.